GGAUCGGGCCUCUGAGGCCACGGGGCGGUAGGUGGGACCCCUUCUGUGGCCUCAAGUGUAUGGAAUAAGUGCCCUCUUUGAGCUGUGAGAAUGGGCCACAGGCAUCCUGGGAAGAUCUAGGCGUGUACACGUUACCAAUGAGAAGGCGGGUGCUUCCGCCCGACCCGGCCAGUCGCGUGUGCUCACUGACGCCUGCGUGUGCCUCGCCUUCCCCGCACCUGCUCGCUCCCGGACGUCAACUGGAGAAUUAGGAAAGCAAAGGGUUAGGUGGGAGGACAGAUUUUUAUUUCCUUUCUCACCCAUAUCAAGCCAAGAUGCACGGUGAUUACUUGAGUGAGUCAGUCUUUGGACCAAGAAAUUGGUCAUGAACCACUGAUCAGUUUGGGGAGUAGCUUAGCCCUUUUCCACAAAUCUAUUUUUUAGGAGUCAGGUAAUUGUUACUGGGGUUUCUUUUAAUCCAUGGGGAUCUGAAAUAAAGCCACACCGUCUUGCU